GGGCUCAUAGCUCAGUCGGUUAGAGCAUCGGACUCAUAACCCGCAGGUCCUUGGUUCAAGUCCAAGUGGGCCCACCA
rnacentral:tRNA from 1 species